GUAACCGAAGCUUAUGCUAUUUUCAAUCCAAUCGUGGAUAUUAUGCCUGUUAUACCUCUAUUCUUUUUUCUAUUAGCCUUUGUUUGGCAAGCUGUUGUAAGUUUUCGAUGA
rnacentral:rRNA from 1 species